AUGUCAAGGAGGCGGAAGGGACAAAAGGAGCGCCUAGGCGAGCUACGGGUGGCAGAAGACACCAAGAGAACAUCUUGGUGGCCGUCCAAAGGCUGGAUGGUGAUGGCGGCGCCGGAAGCAGAGCUCGAAGACGAGGCGGCAGGACGUCAGCACGCGUCGAAGGCGUCGGUGCCCGCGUACUCCGACUUGACGGCCUUGCCGCCCGCCCUCUUCCUCUUCCGCAGCCUCCCAACGCCAGCCGCCCAAGGAGACAACCCCGAGAAGUUCAAGGAGCCGGCGACACGGAUGAUGGGGUCGCCGGUGCCGCACGGAGCGGCACCCGACACCUAG
rnacentral:rRNA from 1 species